UACGUAGGAUGCAAGCGUUGUCCGGAAUUAUUGGGCGUAAAGAGCGCGCAGGCGGUUACUCAAGUCAGAUGUAAAAUAUCCCGGCUUAACCGGGAGGGGCCAUUUGAAACUGGGUAACUAGAGUGAAGCAGAGGAUAGCGGAAUUCCCGGUGUAGUGGUGAAAUGCGUAGAUAUCGGGAGGAACACCAGUGGCGAAGGCGACUUCCUGGCCUGUUCUUGACGCUGAGGCGCGAAAGCUAGGGUAGCAAACGGG
rnacentral:rRNA from 1 species